rnacentral:hammerhead_ribozyme from 1 species
AUCCAUCUGACGAGUCCCAAAUUGGACGAAACGCGCGUCCUGGAU